rnacentral:rRNA from 1 species
AUGUUUAUUGCUGAUAUUCGUAGAGAUGAAAUAUUUAGAAAGGAGAAUAUUGCUCAAAUUUCUGCCACGCUUGUUGAGAUAAAGAAGAACAUAGCAUAUGCCAUUGUGUAUAACCUUGUCAAGUUGGUGUUAAUUUCCCCUGUGGCGGCUGGUAGUGUUGAGAGUGUCUUCUGUUGGAUGAAUUAUGUGAAGAAUAAGUUAAGAGCCAAAAUGGGGGAACACUAUUUAAAUGAUUGCUUGGUUACUUUUCUUGAGCGUAAAUUCUUCAUGCAAGUAAAGGAAGACACCAUCAUUUCUCGCUUCCAAAAGGGUGAUCGUAGAGUUAUACUACGAUUCUCCUUGUUGCAAUGUAACUGA